rnacentral:rRNA from 1 species
GCUUGUCUCAAAGAUUAAGCCAUGCAUGUCUCAGUAUAAGCUUUUACACGGCGAAACUGCGAAUGGCUCAUUAUAUCAGUUAUAGUUUAUUUGAUGGUUCUUGCUACUUGGAUAACCGUAGUAAUUCUAGAGCUAAUACAUGCGUCAAACCCCGACUUCUGGGAGGGGUGUAUUUAUUAGAUGGAAACCAAUGCGGGGCAACCCGGUAUAUGGUGAUUCAUAAUAACUUUCGGAUCGAUCUUCGGAUCGAUGCAUCAUUCAAGUUUCUGCCCUAUCAGCUUUGGAUGGUAGGGUAUUGGCCUACCAUGGCUUUAACGGGUAACGGAGAAUUAGGGUUCGAUUCCGGAGAGGGAGCCUGAGAAAUGGCUACCACAUCCAAGGAAGGCAGCAGG